GGCCAGAUAGCUCAGAUGGUAGAGCACCUGACUGAAGUUUCAAUGGGCUCGGGUUUGAACCUUGCUCUGGUCA
rnacentral:tRNA from 1 species